rnacentral:rRNA from 1 species
GACGAACGCUGGCGGCGUGCUUAACACAUGCAAGUCGAACGGAAAUGCCCCAGCUUGCUGGAGUGGAUCAGUGGCGAACGGGUGAGUAACACGUGAGCAACCUGCCCCAGACUCUGGAAUAAGCUCUGGAAACGGCGUCUAAUACUGGAUACGAAACUGGCCCGCAUGGGGAGGGUUUGGAAAGUUUUGCGGUUUGGGAUGGGCUCGCGGCCUAUCAGCUUGUUGGUGAGGUAAUGGCUCACCAAGGCGACGACGGGUAGCCGGCCUGAGAGGGCGACCGGGCCCCAGGGGACCGCGAUACGGGCCAGACUGCUACGGGGGGCAGGGGUGGGGAAUAUUGCCCAAUGGGCGGAAGGCUGAUGCCAGGGCGCCGGGUGGGGGAAGACGGCCUUCGGGUUGUGAACCGCUUUCGGCUGGGAAGAAGCGUAAGUGACGGUAACCGGAAAAGAAGCACCGGCUAACUUCGUG